UACGGAGGGGGCUAGCGUUGUUCGGAAUUACUGGGCGUAAAGCGCACGUAGGCGGACUGUUAAGUCGGGGGUGAAAUCCUGGGGCUCAACCUCAGAAUUGCCUCCGAUACUGGCAGUCUCGAGUGCGGGAGAGGUGAGUGGAAUUCCCAGUGUAGAGGUGAAAUUCGUAGAUAUUGGGAAGAACACCAGUGGCGAAGGCGGCUCACUGGCCCGUAACUGACGCUGAGGUGCGAAAGCUAGGGGAGCAAACGGG
rnacentral:rRNA from 1 species